rnacentral:rRNA from 1 species
GAUGAACGCUGGCGGCGUGCCUAAUACAUGCAAGUCGAGCGAACGGACGAGAAGCUUGCUUCUCUGAUGUUAGCGGCGGACGGGUGAGUAACACGUGGAUAACCUACCUAUAAGACUGGGAUAACUUCGGGAAACCGGAGCUAAUACCGGAUAAUAUUUUGAACCGCAUGGUUCAAAAGUGAAAGACGGUCUUGCUGUCACUUAUAGAUGGAUCCGCGCUGCAUUAGCUAGUUGGUAAGGUAACGGCUUACCAAGGCAACGAUGCAUAGCCGACCUCAGAGGGUGAUAGGCCACACUAGAACUGAGACACGGUCCAGACUCCUGCGGGAUGCAGCAGUAGGGAAUCUUCCGCAAUGGGCGGAAGCCUGACGGAGCAACGCCGCGUGAGUGAUGAAGGUCUUCGGAUCGUAAAACUCUGUUAUUAGGGAAGAACAUAUGUGUAAGUAACUGUGCACAUCUUGACGGUACCGAAUCAGAAAGCCACGGCUAACUACGUG